AUGCCCCGGCCACUCGCAGAGGGGUCCCGCCUCUCCCCGGCCCGGGCACGGAUCCCCGUUCCCCCCCACGGCUCCCGAGCGCCUCCGGCCGCGGGGCCGGGGAUCGUUCAGCCGCAAGAGCCGUCCGGCUGGGACCUGCCCGGAGGUCCGGGCCCCUCUCGCCUCUCCGCGGGUUUUACCGGUCGGGGCGGGCGGCGGAGCGGCUCNNNNNCGCCCCGGUGUUCCCGCAGCGCCGCUGCCGGCAGGCUGGGACGGACGCUGCCGCCCGCCCCCCGGCCCGCACUCACCGUACCCGCGGCGGGGACCAUCCCCCGGGCCGCCGCCGCCCCGCAUCGCCUCCGCUCCCCGCCGCCCCCCGCCGCCCUCCGCCGCCGCGCCGGGGCGGGGCGCGGGCGGGGGCCGGCGCUGCCCCGCCGACACCGGCACCGACUCCCGCCGCCGCUCGCCGUGCCGCUCCCGCUGCGCCUUGGAGAUCGCGACGCGGGUCCCGCUGCGCUUCGCGGUGCGGUGCCGGGCCCGGCGGGCGGGCGCGCAGUGCGGGGUAGCGGCGGCUCCAUCCCUCUCCCGCCGCAGCCGCCGGUGUCAAAUUCCAGCGGCCGUCACCUGACCGGCGGGGCGGGCACCGGCACCGCGCCCCGACCGGCACCGGGACCCCGACCCGCGCCGGACGAGACCCCGCCGGUAGCAGGAGUCGCACCCCGCAUGGUACCGGGAUCCGCACCAGCUCCCGAGCUCGGAGGGAGACUCGCACCGCGCCGGCGCCGGCACCGGGAUCCGCUGGGACCACCGGGCAGACGGAUCCCCGCAGGACGGACCGCCGGACGGACGCCUCAACAGCGCGUUGCCAGCGGCACGGACGCACGGACAGCCCGGGGACAGAACUCAGCCCUUCCCCGGGCGCUGAGGGAGGUGCCACCCGUGCAUGAGGCAGAUGGGGCUGACGUGCUCCAGCAGACGACGCGGUGUGACAGAACACAUGUGGUGGAGAGCUGUGACGCAGAUGGACCGGACGCUUGUAUCGUCCCUGUCUGGUGGUGA
rnacentral:lncRNA from 1 species